rnacentral:rRNA from 1 species
CAGCCGCCGCGGUAAUACGUAGGAGGCGAGCGUUGUCCGGAUUUACUGGGCGUAAAGCGCGCGCAGGCGGCACUUCAAGUAAGGUGUGAAAUCUCCCUGCUCAACGGGGAGGGUGCACUUUAGACUGAGGAGCUAGAGGACGGUAGAGGGGGGUGGAAUUGCUGGUGUAGCGGUGAAAUGCGUAGAGAUCAGCAGGAACACCCGUGGCGAAGGCGGCCCCCUGGGCCGUACCUGACGCUGAGGCGCGAAGGCUAGGGGAGCGAACGGGAUUAGAUACCCCGGUAGUCCUAGCAGUAAACGAUGGCCACUAGGUGUGGGGGGUGUUGACCCCUUCCGUGCCGAAGCUAACGCAUUAAGUGGCCCGCCUGGGGAGUACGGUCGCAAGACUAAAACUCAAAUGAAUUGACGG